rnacentral:rRNA from 1 species
UCGGGAAUAUUGCGCAAUGGAGGAAACUCUGACGCAGUGACGCCGCGUGCAGGAAGAAGGUUUUCGGAUUGUAAACUGCUUUAGACAGGGAAGAAACAAGACAGUACCUGUAGAAUAAGCUCCGGCUAACUACGUGCCAGCAGCCGCGGUAAUACGUAGGGAGCAAGCGUUAUCCGGAUUUAUUGGGUGUAAAGGGUGCGUAGACGGGAAUGCAAGUUGGUUGUGAAAUCCCUCGGCUCAACCGAGGAAUUGCAACCAAAACUAUAUUUCUUGAGUGCUGGAGAGGAAAGUGGAAGUCCUAGUGUAGCGGUGAAAUGCGUAGAUAUUAGGAGGAACACCAGUGGCGAAGGCGACUUUCUGGACAGUAACUGACAUUGAGGCACGAAAGUGUGGGGAGCAAACAGG